rnacentral:piRNA from 1 species
CAAAAAACCUCGGGUGUCUGGUAUAA